UACGUAGGGUGCGAGCGUUAAUCGGAAUUACUGGGCGUAAAGCGUGCGCAGGCGGUUAUAUAAGACAGAUGUGAAAUCCCCGGGCUCAACCUGGGAAUUGCAUCUGUGACUGCAUCGCUAGAGUACGGUAGAGGGGGAUGGAAUUUCGCGUGUAGCAGUGAAAUGCGUAGAUAUGCGGAGGAACACCGAUAGCGAAGGCAAUCCCCUGGACCUGUACUGACGCUCAUGCACGAAAGCGUGGGGAGCAAACAGG
rnacentral:rRNA from 1 species